rnacentral:rRNA from 1 species
UGGGGAAUAUUGCACAAUGGGCGCAAGCCUGAUGCAGCCAUGCCGCGUGUGUGAAGAAGGCCUUCGGGUUGUAAAGCACUUUCAGCGAGGAGGAAGGUGGUGAGCUUAAUACGCUCAUCAAUUGACGUUACUCGCAGAAGAAGCACCGGCUAACUCCGUGCCAGCAGCCGCGGUAAUACGGAGGGUGCAAGCGUUAAUCGGAAUUACUGGGCGUAAAGCGCACGCAGGCGGUUUGUUAAGUCAGAUGUGAAAUCCCCGGGCUCAACCUGGGAACUGCAUUUGAAACUGGCAAGCUAGAGUCUCGUAGAGGGGGGUAGAAUUCCAGGUGUAGCGGUGAAAUGCGUAGAGAUCUGGAGGAAUACCGGUGGCGAAGGCGGCCCCCUGGACGAAGACUGACGCUCAGGUGCGAAAGCGUGGGGCAGCAAACAGGAUUAGAUACCCUGGUAGUCCACGCUGUAAACGAUGUCGAUUUGGAGGUUGUGCCC